rnacentral:rRNA from 1 species
UACGAAGGGGGCUAGCGUUGCUCGGAAUCACUGGGCGUAAAGGGUGCGUAGGCGGGUCUUUAAGUCAGGGGUGAAAUCCUGGAGCUCAACUCCAGAACUGCCUUUGAUACUGAGGAUCUUGAGUUCGGGAGAGGUGAGUGGAACUGCGAGUGUAGAGGUGAAAUUCGUAGAUAUUCGCAAGAACACCAGUGGCGAAGGCGGCUCACUGGCCCGGUACUGACGCUGAGGCACGAAAGCGUGGGGGAGCAAACAGG